rnacentral:rRNA from 1 species
UUUUUACAAAUGUUCCUUAGUGGAACUCGGGAAAGUUUCUAUUAAAAAGAGGGGCCUCGCGCUUCCUUGAGGGACUCCGGUCCCUGCCUCUUUCACCCGGUGAUUACCUUACCUUUUGUUGCCUUGGCGGGAAAGGUUCCCCCGACCGCCCCGCCAGGCAGCCCACCGAAACUCGUUUUCUCCAUGGCCGUCUGACCACCAUUUCAUAAUGAAUCAAAACUUUCAACAACGGAUCUCUUGGUUGCUGGCAUCGAUGAAGAAACGCAGCGAAAUGCGGAUAGAGUAAUGUGAAUUGCAGAAUUUCAGUGAAUCAUCGAAUCUUUGAACGCACAUUGCGCCCCUCGGUAUUCCGGGGGGGAUGCCUGUUCGAGCGUCAUUGCACUAUUCAAGCGUAGCUUGGUAUUGGGGUCCCUUCGCCCGGGGUCCCCGCGGCGGGGCCCGAAAAGCUAUUGGCGGUCCGGUGUGACUUUGAAGCGGUAGUGAAUUUUCUCCCGCUUUGAAUAGGCUCGCGCCGUGGGCGCGAUCGCAGAAAACCCCCACAUAUUCUCCGUUGCCUCGGAAUGGUGGGUCCCCUGACUUUAGCUUUCCUGGGCCG